CGCCUCCCAGCUUGGCAGUUAGGGUGGCCCUUAAGGUCUCAUUUGGCAUCAAGGAGAGAUUUCCAGUCUGCCAAGUUUUCACAGUGAGUGAAUCAUUGUCUGAGAAAAUGACCUCUGAAUAUACAUAUAUGGGACUAUUCAGAAGGGCUAUGCAGCAGGAUUCAGAGGAAAGACUAUUAAAAUUCCAGUGUACACCAGUAAAUCUACAGUUUCAUCAUAAAUUACAAUCAGGAAUCAUUUUGUCUCAUGGCCUCGCUCCCUGCGUGGGGAGGUGGUUUCAGUUCCAGGGCCAGCGAGGCGAAUACGGUGCGGGGAGGGCUCUGAGAAAGGAACAGAACCCAAAUCACUUUCCUUCUUUAGUUGACGAAUCUCAGGGCUUAAAAUGCUACAAACAAUUGAGAUUGUAAAUGUAUCUCGUCUGUUUCUCUGAGCCUGCCUUCAGUCAACAAAUGUUUUCUAUUCACCAGCCUAAGAAGCAGCUUUGGUGCUGUCCCUUGCGGGAUCCCACUUAGUUAUCUUUUAGAGGAAAUACCAAGGCAUAUUUCCCCCAUUCCUGAAGUAUAAGAUGGUGUCACUAAUACUGUGGCUUAGUAAAAUGGGAAGAAAUACACUGAGGAUUCUGAAAUCUUCCCUCAGCUGCCUUGAAGAAUUGGGUCAAUAACCUUUAGAGUGGUGAAGAUGGCUCAGGAAUAGAUUAAUAGACUCACAAAUUCUAGAACAAGAGAAGACUUCAAAGGUCGUAGGGCCCAGCCCUGUCUUUUGGAAGUCGAGUUACUAAUUUUGUACUGAGAUGGCGACUGAAACUCGGAGGAUUGUUUCUCUGCCUGGAUCAUACGGCAACGUCACCAGCACUGCCACUGCGCAGUGUUCAGAGAGCGCGAAGACCUCCAUCACCUUCUAGCUCAGUCGGGUCGCCUCGGCCUCCAGCUGCCGGGCCCUUGUGGAGUUUCUUCCCACGGAUUUUUCAUCCUCCCCAGCUCCCCAGGCCCCUUCUAAACCCUGUAAUACACUGCAGGUUCUUCUGGCGCUCCCACCACCCGCCUGGCCUCCCUUCUCUGCCUCGAGGAGAUUUGGCUGCGUAUAGAGGAACAGGGAAGGUGAGUAUGCAGGGGACAGGUACCAGCUGUUUGCCAUGGGUACCAGUGAGGGCACAGGAGGAAGUGAGUGCUGUGGUGGCUUUGGAGAUUAGGUUAAUCAUAAGGAAAUAAAUCCUGAGUCGUGGAGACUGUCAGGAAAUCGUGUGCGUUGUUCAGGAAGAUGGUGGAGUCUGUUCCUCUGGAAACACAAAACAUCCACCUUAAAAAUGUGGCGGCCUUACUUGCCCAGAACAAUUUUAGUGGGGUCUGGCCUGAAGUCAGGGGGUGGAUUAGAUGACCCCAGUCUCUUCUUGAUUCUAUUAAAAGAUUUUCAGGGGAUGAGGUUUCUACAGGCAAUAGCACAGUCUAAUGCUUAACAAAUCUUUUGUUGAAGAUUUUUAAUACCAUCUUUUCAUCUGACCUAAAUCUUUCGUGUGGAAGUUGAGCCAUGUCCCCUGUGGAGAGGAAGAACGGAGGAGAUCGAAAUUCAGCCUUUAAAGUACCCAGUUAAAUUUAGUGUUUCGAAUUAGGGAGACUCAAGCAUCAGCACCGAACUGGGUCACGUCAUUUGAUGUUUUCCGAGAGGAGGACACCACAGAAAUCUGACUCUUGGUUCUGGUAUCAGAGUCAAAG
rnacentral:lncRNA from 10 species